ensembl:lncRNA
CAAAAUAAAACAUGUUUUUAAAAUCGGGAGUGGGGAGGAAGACUCCUGUCAAGAAGACAGUGGGUGCUAAAACACGUGAUAUAGCCUCGUUCCAGAAGAAUCUGUAAAUAUUUGCACUUGCUGGAGAAGCUUAUGUUGAUGCGUCGGUAAAUUGAAUAUAUAUUUUUAUGAGAAGAACAAAGUUGGUGUGUUGCUUAAUAAUUAACAUCCACGCACAAACAACUUGACUCUCUUAAAAAAAAAAAGCAGUUUAUGAAGCCAUUGGACAGAGAAGUCGGAAGGAAAUCAGAACAGAAAUACAAACAAAUCGCUGGCCACAGGCAUUAGUUUCUGCCAGUCAAUAAUGUGUUAAUAUACUGCAUAUUUAGAAAACAAAAUGAAACCAACAAUUAUGGGAAGAGGAAAGAAAAGCCUACAACAAAUGAACUGAUUGUAUUUCAAGUGAAUUCUACUUCUGUAGUGAAGAAGAUAAAAACAAAAUGAAGAACUAAUCCAAGUAACUUUCGAGCACAGUGUUGGACUGGACCCCUGCCGCCUUGG